rnacentral:lncRNA from 1 species
GUAAACAGUAAAAUUCUGGUUUCGUUUGUAGUUUUUUAUUUAAAAGAAAUACUUUUCUUUUGCAGAAACCUUUGUCAACACUGUAGACACUAAACGGUCAUCUCCACCAAUCUGUUCUGAAUACCUGACAACUAGGGACUGCCUAAAGCAAAUACGACUAUGGGUUAGAACAUUUCUUAGGAAAUCAACGGAAUAUAGCCAACCGAGAAUAAUCAAUUUUGGAAGGGA